GUUUGACAAUAAGGUGUGAAUGAAGCUUUCAACAUCAGGGUUGGGUCAACAGGGUCAUGAAGGGGAGAAGAAAUGCUUGAAUUCGGAGCUAUGGCACGCUUGUGCCGGGCCGUUGGUGUCCCUACCAACAUUGGGCAGCCGGGUGGUCUACUUCCCUCAGGGGCAUAGUGAGCAGGUAUCUGCCACAACUAACAAAGAAGUUGAUAGUCAGAUACCCAAUUACCCAAGCCUGCCG